rnacentral:sRNA from 1 species
UAAUGCUCCGCUCCGGGUAAGGAUGAGAAGCUUCGACCAAGGUUCGAGUCUCACGCAGUGAGACAACGCGCUUUAGCGCGGCCCGCAGGGUGAGUCGCACAGCGACGAAUCAUCCUUCCCCCACCACCA